UACGUAGGGGGCAAGCGUUGUCCGGAAUCAUUGGCGUAAAGAGCGUGUAGGCGGCUUGGUAAGUCCGCUGUGAAAGUCCAGGGCUCAACCCUGGAAUGCCGGUGGAAACUGUCAAAGCUUGAGUCCGGAAGAGGCGAGUGGAAUUCCUGGUGUAGCGGUGAAAUGCGUAGAGAUGUGGAGGAACACCUGUGGCGAAGGCGCCUUGCUGGCCGAUUUCUGACGCUGAGGCGCGAAAGCGUGGGGAGCAAACAGG
rnacentral:rRNA from 1 species